UGAUAUCACGCAGCUAAAUAAUAUUCCACCAACUCAGGAAUCCUACUAUGAUCCCAACCUGCCACCGGUCACUAAAAGUCUAGUAACAAACUGUAAACCAGUAACUGACAAAAUCCACAAAGCAUAUAAGGACAAAAACAAAUAUAGGUUUGAAAUCAUGGGAGAAGAAGAAAUCGCUUUUAAAAUGAUUCGUACCAACGUUUCUCAUGUGGUUGGCCAGUUGGAUGACAUAAGAAAAAACCCUAGGAUCUCACUCUGUUGUCCAAGCUGGAAUGCAGUAAUGCAAACAUGGCUCACUGUAGCCUCGACCUCGUGGGCUCAAGCAAUCCUCCCACCUCAGCCUCCUGACUAGUGGAACCACAGACAUGAGCUGCUGCACCCAGCUAAAAUGGAGUAUUUUUAAUUUCUGGGUCUUUUAAAUGCAUUUGGAGGUCUUUAGUUUUACCUCACUGAAAUUAGGAUUUUAAUUAUAAAUAAUCAAAGAUGUGAACCUUACAGACAUUUUAAAGCCAUUAUAUUUUUUCUAUAAACCCUGUUCUCGUUUGGAGGAGAAAGAAAUUGGAAUUUUCAAAAAAAAUAAAAAUACCUUUAACACCUA
rnacentral:lncRNA from 1 species